rnacentral:rRNA from 1 species
CUAGGUAGUUAUGGCGGGUGUGACACACGCGAUACCAUCCCGAACUCGAUAGUGAAACCACCCAGCGCCGAUGAUACUUCUGCUUAAGUACGAGGGAAAGUAGGACGCUGCCUGGC